GCCUACCACCCAGAAUAAGCCCAAUCUCAUCUGAUCUCAGAAGCUAAGCAGGGUUGGAUCUGGUUAGUACUUGGAUAGGAGAGAAAGAGAGAAAUUGAGAGAAUGGGCA
rnacentral:rRNA from 1 species